AGGCUGCCGGUGACUUUCUAUCUUUGUUCCCCUCUGCACCUUCUACAAAAUCCACAAGGAUGCUGCCUUUGAUCGCCAUUGAAGAGAGCAUUUCUUCAGGCUUGUCAGAGAAUACCCAAAGACAACCCUUUAAAAAUCACACAAAUGCCGCUUUGUCAGUGAAACCAGAUCCUAGCCAGAAGGUAUCAUAGAUACCUUGAUCAUUUCUCAGAGGGUGCCCCUGAACUGGCCACCAGAAGAUCGUUCUUUAAUUCAACCAGACAUAAGAGCAAACUCAUUGAAGCUAUAUGCAGAUUAAGAUGAUUAGGUUGAAGGAACCAGGAGCUCUGCCUUGUGCUGUUUCAGCCAUGGAGUGAGAAGGAAGCUUUGGAAGAUGCUUGGCCAUGAAGCCAUUCAACAGCUGAAGUGAGACACACCAUUGAGAAACCACAUCUUUCCUCAUGGAGGCAAGAAGGCUCAGGCUAUUCCAGGCAACCAGCCUUCUCUAUCUGGCACCCAUUUCAUCCUUCCCAGUGAUGUGCUUCAGAAAGAUAUAGAAAGCGCUGCUCAUUUUUCUCCUUAGACGUUACCCUUAAUAACUUCUGAACCUGCUGACAGAUAACAGCUGAUCUUAUAAGUAACUAAUUCCUCUACACUAAGUUUACUUACAUUAGGCGGGAUUAUAGGAAUCAAACAAUAAACCAUUAAGCUAACAAAACAAAAG